UAACAUAAUCAUCCCCUCAUUAGCCACAUAAACAUGACAUUGGUAAUGAUAACAGCAAACAUUUAUAUAAUGCAUCUCUUUUUGCUUCCCCUGCCCAUCCUCUCAAGUGUUCAGGAAUCAGCAAACAGAUAGCAGAGUUCAAAUCAUUGGUAGAAAGUUGAUCUUUUGAGUUAACCAUUUCUAUCAUCAUGCCUUGGUCAGUCACCUCACAGAGAAGUUGAUUAUAUUUUUCAGAACUCCAAGAACCUUCUAUGCCCUCAGUCUUUGUCAUGAAAAAUGGGACCAAUGUUGCAUGUCUGGUGAAGGACUUCUACCCCAAGACUGUGGAUAUACAUCUCGAUCCAGAUGACAACACAAAAGAAGGAAUGGUCACCAUUGCCAAUGGGAAGUUCAGCGCUAUCAAGCUUGGCCAAUAUAAGAAUGAUUUGGAACAAAUUAACUGUACAGUUCGGCAUAACAAUAAAACCAUGGUGGCUUCUUACAAAAGGCCCUUUGAGAAGAGUUCAGACCUAAAGAAAGAUAGUGAUCAGGAAUUAUCUUCUCCAAAGUGCCAUAAACCCACAGUGCAAAUUGAGAAACUGAACUUGCUGUCCAUCACCCUGCUGGGGCUUCGUGUGCUGCUCGCCAAGAGCAUUGCUGUCAAUUUAUUCUUGACUAUCAAGUGUUUUUUACUGUCAGGUUCAUCUACCCCAAAGGAAUCAGAGAUAUCAAGGACUCACUGAGAUGUUUUCCCUUGGCUUCCUCUUGCUGUGAUGUAAAUGACUUUCUGGGUGUCUAUUUUGACCAGAAGGUUUUUUUCUUAAGUGCUUUUGCUUUGGAAAAAUUAGACCCAAUUCUUUUCAAAGCCAGGUGGAAAGACAGCCCUGGAGGAGGUGGCUGAUCAUUCCAAUUCUUUGUAUUAAAAUGUUUCUGUAAUUUUGAAAAGAAAAAUGAAAUCAUCUCAUCACUUUGACUGUCAGACUUAAACAUCUGAAAAAAGUAUUUCCUCUCCCUUCUGAUUUCUGCUACCUCCAGAAUUUGAACCAAGGGAAGAAAAAAAAAAGACUCAGUUUUGUCCCAAAGCCCACAUUUAUUCAUUUUAAUGUUCUAUCUUUUCUGUGCACAUGGUAGGAGCCACAAAAGAGAUAAUGUCAGAAACAUUUUUUCUAGAACCCUGGAACUAGAAAAGAUCUCAGAGAUCAUUUCAACCAAUGUCUGCUUGCAGCAUGAAUUCAAUAUCCCUAAGAAAUAACUGUUUAGCCUCUAUUAGUCAUCUAGCGAUGAGGAGCUCAUUACUUCACCAGGUAGCUCGUUAGAGGCAUCAUGGAAUAAUGGAAGGGAAACAAGAAUAUUAAGGCACAGAAAGAACUGGAUUAGAAUUCUGACUCAGAUACUUAACUAGCUAUGUGACCCUGUGCAAAAGUCACAUUUAACUUAUUUAGUCUUAAGUAUCUUCAGUAAAAUGAUGGAGUUGUACUCAGUAACCUCCAAGGGCCCUUCCUUUUUUCUAUUAUUACUUAAUUUUUGUAUACCCCUAAUAAUUAAGAAGUGUUUAUAAUAAACUAAAAUCUGCUUCACUUAACCCUUCACCCACUGCUCCCCACAGCUCUUUCUAAAGGGGCUGAAAAAAUUUAAUCUCAUCUCUUUUCAAUAUAACAGCCCUUCAAAUAGUUUAAUAUACUUAUAGUUCCCCUUGCCUCCAAGUUUCUUCUUCUCUAUGAUAAAUACCCUCAAUUCCUUCAAUUAAUUUUUGUAUGGUCUAUUUUAUAGUCUACUUGUAUUUUGCAGCUUUCCUUAUUUUCUCUGAGUUUAAUAUAGUACUUAGGAUAAAUAUUUUUUCAUAUUUAAUAAAUGCUGGUUGACUUGA